AUUGAACGCUGGCGGCAGGCCUAACAAAUGCAAGUCGAACGAGUGGCGGACGGGUGAGUAAUGUCUGGGAAACUGCCCGAUGGAGGGGGAUAACUACUGGAAACGGUAGCUAAUACCGCAUACCAUCGGAUGUGCCCAGAUGGGAGUAGUUUGUAGGUGAGGUAACGGCUCACCUAGGCGACGAUCCAUAGCUGGACUGAGAGGAUGACCAGCCACAGUGGAACUGAGACACGGCCCAGACUCCUACGGGAGGCAGCAGUGGUGAAUAGUGCACAAUGGGCGCAAGCCUGAUGCAGCCAUGCCGCGUGUAUGAAGAAGGCCUUCGGGUUGUAAAUUACUGUCAGCGGGGAAGCGUUACCCGCCGAAGAAGCACCGGCUAACUCCGUGCCAGCAGCCGCGGUAAUUC
rnacentral:rRNA from 1 species